GGUCCUUAGCCUCCUAUCCCUACCUCCUCGUGGUACUGACCGGGGUACGAAUAACCUUAGGGAAGAUCGGGUAACCAACCUCGAUGGAAACUUUGGUCGUAUGCUGACAGGAAAGG
rnacentral:ribozyme from 1 species